UUUAUUUUAUUAACCGUCCGAUCAAAUGAUCGGACGACCGAGAUCAAACAAGACUUUUCAACAUAGACUCUACCACCACAACCCUAUACGCUCGUAACCUUCUUCCCCAAAAGAAAAAAAACAACAACGCUCUCUUCACCUUUCUAGACGCCCAGAGCUCCGGUCUCUACCAUCGUUGCCCACCUUCUCCCUCAUACUAAUCUCUACGAUAGCUGCACCAUCGCCUAUGGCUACCAAGACGUCCUCUCCCAUCAAUUCGUCAGACCUGAUCCAACUAGUUAGCUUCCUCCUCAGACGCUCCAAGCUACUCUCCCAUGGCCACCCCACGUGAUUCCUCAUCCCCUUCAACAGAAACGGCUCUGGGCCGCCGGAAAAUGGUACAUCAGUCACUUCAACCUCUCAAAUCGAUCAGAAAAGGCAAUUCUUCAGAGAUUUUUCUUCUGCCUCAUUUUAUUUUCUCUGUUCAAACUUGGCUUCCCAAGAAUUCAAAAAUUUUGAAUUCUAGGUCAAUAGAGGUUAUGAUUUUUGCUAUAAAAGGGUACCAUUUGAUCCUUAGAAGGGAAAAAAAUAUACAAAAAUCAUCCAUAAAUAUCCAGAAUCCUUUAAGAUCGAUCUACAUCGAUGAACAUCCAAAAAACAAAUCUAAAAAUCGUCUGAGAAAUAGAUUUUAAGGUUAUCUUUUGUUUUCUGCUUCCGUUCUUCUUCGAGUCGUUGUUCGAGUUCAAAGUUGAAUCUUGACGUCAAAACCCUUGUUUGAUGCUCCACAAAAGGAUUGAUAUGGAUAGUGAUUUUUCCUGAAGAAUAUCCUUAAUCUAAAAAAUGCAUUAGCAAGUUCAAUAAUUAUCUGAUUUGUUAGCUAGCAAUUUGAUGUGCUUCGUGUAAUUGUGUUGUUCACAUUUUUCAAAGUAGAAUAAAUGUUAUCUCUCUUGCGUCUAAAUUCUUGAAUCUUGAUUAAGUUGCGGAAUUUUCCGUUUCCCUCUGAUUUACAUUAAAUUAAUGAAAAGUGUGGGACAUCUUAUACUUUGAUAUGAAUUAUAACACAAGUCGUCCUGUGAGUGAUAGCUUGUUUUCAGUUAAGGCGUGCCAAAAUUAAUACGAUGAAGUGGGUUGUGAAAUAUUCCUUGUCUAGUUUUAAUUGUAGUAGCUGUUCUUAUUGUUUCAUUCAAAUAACUGCCUAAGCUUAGUUCUUUAGCAUUUUAUGAACAUGUGAACAUUAGUUGGGUGUUAUAUAAUUUGUUUAUGAUCGUAAUGUGCUAAUAUCUUUAUUUGGUUUCACUAGAAUUUGUUUAGUUUGGUUGUUUCUCUCGUUUUUAGUAUGGUUUUCCUAUUAUUUAGUCCAUAAGAUAUGCAAUAGUCAUCAAUGUACGAUGUCCUGUUGUUAGCCCCAUUGUCUUUCAAAAGAAAUCUCAAAACCCCUUAGAGACUCCAUCUAGCAUUCCCUUAACACGAGUUGUACAGAUUACUUCUUGAAGAUUGUAGUCCUAUCUAAAUGAAUCCAUUUGGCUUUGAACUUGUCUGUUAGGAUCUUGUAGUGCUGGAAUUUUUGUCAAGUCGAAUAUGUCCAUUGUGUUAAUAAGUCGUCGUUCGUCUAAGUCUCCAUAAUAGCAUGCAUAUUUUCAUUUGAUAGUUGUCUAUUGUAAAAUCCUAACCUAUCUUGUUUUUUUCUACAUUGGUUAAAUUUAGAAACUUUAAAUAUUUUCCCUCUUUCCAUUGUGACUAGAAGCAUUCUCUGUUGCAUAAUACUUAGAAUCUGAUGUAGUCAAAGUUAGCUUCCCCUCUAUUGAUGGUCUAAGUUAUUUUUCGUUUUAGCAUCAUACAAAAUCUUAUGAACUUGUCUUGGGCACUACUAUCCUCAUAGUUGUUGAUUUCAACCAUCCUAUGAGAACCCGAGUUAGACUUGGGUUCUUCAACUACAAUUUUUUUCUUUAUUGAAGAUCUUGAAAUUUCUUCAGCCUUUCUUUUCUUAUUUUUAGAAGGCUUAGGAACAGAUCGUUUAACAAACCCACCUCUAGUUUUAGCCAUAACCAGAGUAAACCUAUAAUAAAACAUGCAAAAUAAAUAACAGAUACAACAGAACUCAACAAUGUGAUUGACAGAAAACGUCACUGAAGUCGAUCAAAGUUUAGGGGAUUGUAAUACCCCAUAAUUUUAGUUAAGGGUAAACGAGUCUUUAGUUAAAAAAAAGGAAAAGAAAAGAGACUGGGCUAAAAGCCCUUGGCAGCCACGCUGCAUUUUUUAGCAGAGAGAAAUGAAGAAAAAAAAUAGUUUCCUUCCUACGUUCAUCAUUGUUGUCGGUUCUCACUUGUUAGUUAUUUGUGUGAGUAGUAAUGGUAAAAAAGGAAAAGCAAAUGCAAGAACAAGCCAACAUCCUCAAGUUCCAUAUCACUGGAGAAAUUUGUUUCCACCAUGGCAAUUUAAUAGAUUUGGAAGAGAGAAGGAGCGAGGAAGAGAAUUGAUAAGCUUGGAUUCUUAAAUAAAGAAAGAAGCGGAAGAGGAAGGUAAGCUUCUGAACUUAGCUAUAGAUUUCAUCUGAAUUUCCCAUAGCUAUAGAACUGGGGUUGAGAGUUUGAGAAAUCGUGAUUUAAAAGAAAUAGAGGGAAUUGUCAAAUUCUCAUGAUUUGAAGGAGUGCACUAAUAAUUUGAACUAUAAACCUUGCUAUUCGGCAAAUAUGAAGUAAAAGUUGAUGGGCAGCAAGGUUAUGUUGGUUUAUUACAAUGUGAAAUUAAUCAAAGGGAGGUUGCUUUGUGUAAUUAAAGCACCAAUUAGGUGGUUGGUCAGAUUUUGAGUCAUUCAUGGAACUUCUAGGGCUGGGUGUUUUAAUUUAUUAUGAAAUAGCAUGUAUGACGAGGUUAAUACGAAAUUAGUAUGAAUGUGAUUAUAGAUUAACCAAAGGGAUUCAUACGGAUACUCAAGUGGCGAGCUUGGUAUUUUCAGCACAAGUAAUUGAUUACAAGAAGAAUAUGAAUGGGAGUAGACCUUGAUGAAUCCCGUAGCUGACGGCGGGAUCGUUAGACGUGGUGCACCUUGUAGUUAUUGAUUUUUGAUAAAGCCCUUGCUAGUGGGAUGUGGAACUAGUAUUCUGUUACUGAUAUCCCUCGAGUAGGGAUCUACUGAUAUGAAUAUUUAACUCCAUUACGAGGAUUUCACUAUUAUUGAUUACUUCUUAAAGAGAAGACCACUCUAAUUACAUGUAACGUCCUUGGAAACCUCCUAGAAAUAAGAUUUUAUAUGAAAAUGUUCUUUUAUUGAUUUUGCUAUUAUGUAUUUACACUGAUUAUGCUUAUAUGAGGCAUAUAAGAUUGAAAGAUCAUUAUUUCAUCAUUAUGA